AUCGCUUCUCGGCCUAAUGGCUAAAAUCAAGUGUAGUAUCUGUUCUUGACUCUUAGUCAUUAGGUGUACAAUCGAGCUAGAGAUCACUAUCGGUGUCGUGUCACUUGGAGAGAUAUUGAGAGUUUUACCCUACCCUACCACGGGUUUCCUGUAAGGAAACUUUAGUUCCUGUAAGGAAACUUUAGUU